CCCUUAGAUGUUCUGGGCCGCACGCGCGCUACACUGACGCAUUCAACGAGUCUCCUUGGCCGAGAGGCCUGGGUAAUCUUGUGAACGUGCGUCGUGAUAGGGAUAGAUUAUUGCAAUUAUUAAUCUUGAACGAGGAAUUCCUAGUAAACGCAGAUCAUCAAUCUGCAUUGAUUACGUCCCUGCCCUUUGUACACACCGCCCGUCGCACCUACCGAUUGGAUGGUCCGGUGAGGCCUCGGGAUUGUGGCCGGUGCAUUCAUUUGUGUCGGUUGCGAGAACUUGUCCAAACCUUAUCAUCUAGAGGAAGGUGAAGUCGUAACA
rnacentral:rRNA from 1 species